UGCGCAGGCGGACUAUUAAGUCAGUGGUGAAAUCUCUCGGCUCAACCGAGAAACUGCCAUUGAAACUGAUAGCCUUGAGUGUGGUUGUGGUAGGCGGAAUAUAGCAUGUAGCGGUGAAAUGCUUAGAUAUGCUAUAGAACACCGAUCGCGAAGGCAGCUUACCAAACCAUUACUGACGCUCAUGCACGAAAGCGUGGGGAGCAAACAGGAUUAGAUACCCUGGUAGUCC
rnacentral:rRNA from 1 species